rnacentral:misc_RNA from 1 species
GUGAGUCAUCGAAUCUUUGAACGCAUCUUGCGCUCCAGGGUAUUCCUUGGAGCAUGCCUGUUUGAGUAUCAUGAAUAUCUUCAAUCCCCGAGGGCUCUGCCCCUUUUGGUGGACUUGGACUUGGAGGUUGCUGGUAAUCCUGGCUCCUCUCAAAUGUAUUAGCUGGAACCUCAUGUGUAUCUCCGGUGUGAUAAUAUCUACUCCGCUUGAUCACAAAGUCAGGAUCUGCUUCCAAUCGUCCCAAGUUGGACAAUACCUUCACAUCUGAUCUCAAAUCAGGUAGGACUACCCGCUGAACUUAAGCAUAUCAAUAAGCGGAGGA